rnacentral:lncRNA from 1 species
AUUUUUUGAAACAGGGUUUUUCUGUGUAGCCCUGGCUGUCUUGGAACUCACUCUGUAGACCAGGCUGGCCUCAAACUCAGAAAUCCGCCUGCCUCUGCCUCCCAAAUGCUGGGAUUAAAGGCAUGUGCCACCACUGCCCGGCCAAUGUUAUAUUUUUAUUAUAUAUAAAUUAUGUAUCAAUAUAGUAUUUAUAUUGUAUAUAAAUAUAUGAUGUAUAAUAUAGAAUUAAUAUAUAUGUUUAUAUUAAUAAGAUGUUAUAGAAUUAAAAUAACAUAAGACUGGUGUGGUCUGGUGUAGUGGUUCUGGCCUUUAAUCCCAGCAUUCAAGAGGUAGAGACAGGCAGAUAUCUGUGAAUUCAAGGUCAACCUGGUUUUCAUACUGAGUUCCAGGCUAGUCAGUGCUGCAUAGUGAAAUACAUCAGAAAGAGUGAUAGAGACCAGUGUCAUGGUAUAGACCCACAAUCCCUGCAUUCGGAAGGUUGAAGCAACAGGAUAGAUAAGUUUGAGGCAAACCACACAUAGCAAGAGCAAAUCUCUCUCUCCCUGUCCUUCAAAAUGCAGAUACAGUUUUUCAAUUCUAAAAGUAGUUCAUGUGACCAGGGCAUGGUGGCACACACCUUUAAGAGGUGCACUUGAGAGGCAGAAGCAGAUGGAGCUCUGAGUGUGAGGUCAGCCUGGCCUACAAAGGACCAGGACAGCCAAGGCUAUUACACAGAAAUAUCCUGUCUCAAAAAACAACCAAAUAAACAAAUAGUGUUAAUUUUUAAAUUGUCAAUACUGAAAAGAUAGAGGGCGUUUUAAAGACUCAGAAGUUAGUAGGUAUACUCUUUGUUAUAAGUGUCUGACUAUUCUAGUGACUCUGACCAUAAAGAAAUAAGCAAGUAUUUAUAUUUAGUAUGUGCAUCAUCUCUUGUCCCAUUGCCAGGCCCAGUCUCAAUGUUAAUAGAGAACCAGGCCCUCCAUGGUACUCCCCUAACAUUCUGACACUAGAUACUCUGUGGUCACAUGCUUAACUUAGUCUACCUGUGUUGGACCUGACUCUGAAGUGGUAUGAUCUACGGUGAUCCAUCUUAUGUGUAUGAAUGUUUUUCCUGCAUGUAUGUCUGUACACUACAUGUAUGCCUGGUGUUCAAGGAGGUCAUACGAAAGUGUCAUAUCCCCCAAAUGGAGUUACGGGUAGUUGUGAACCACCAUGAGGAUGCUGGGAGCAGCAUGGGUCCUCGAGAAGAGCAACAAGUGUCCUGUACUGCUGAGCCAUCUCCUCAGCCCUACUUGUGUUAGUUCAUAAUAGAAAAAAUUCUUUGGAUUUUAGAAGUAAAAUGUGUGGCUCCUGCUUUUCCUGGAUUGGAUGUGUGUGUACAUGGUCAUGAACAUGCUCAUUGCAUGAAUGCACACGCCUUUGGGGGCCAGAGGAUAGUUUUUGAGAUGGUCUUUUACUGGCUGGGACUCACAAAUUAGGCUAGACUGGCCAAUCAGGGAUGCCCAGGGAUCCUGCCUUUACCUCCCUACUGGGUGACAAGUGCCUAACAUUUUCGUAUGGGUUCAGGGAUUGAACUAAUACCGUGCUUACAAACACUGUACUGAGCUGUUUUCCCAGACCUGUCCUGGUUUUGAUCCAUGCAAAUAAUAAUAAAGCCUUUGGAAACACAUGCCUGGAUAAUCUCCUCUCUCAUGACUGUCUCAUGGAGCCAUUCUUCUCCUGAGGACUCCCAAGACAGAAGCAGAUGUUGGACAAUGAGUGCUGCUAUGCUCACUAUGAAGAGGCUUAUUUUUAAAGGUUGUUUUUUAAAACAAGAUCCUGGAGAAGAUGUGUUCAGAUGUCAUUGUGGAAAGGCUAGUUUUGGAAACUGAGUUUGUAUCCAGGUAUGUCAGGAAAAUUGUGAUUCAAGUAAAGGACUUGUUUCUAUUGAGGGAUCACAUGUCAUCACGCUUUUGUCCUUGACAGUGGGCAUACUGUAAAGGUCUUAGGUGGGUGUUUCACUGCAAAGUUAAGGACACCUUUCAGGGUUGUUGAAAAAAAUAAAAGAAUAUAUUUGAAGGAUUCCCACAGUACUUAACAUGGCAAAUAUAUAUUCUCUCAUACUCAGUUCUACAAAUUCUGUUUCCACAAUAAUCACACAACACACAUAAACACACACAGUGUAAUAUCACAGAUCUCCAAAGCAGUGUGUGCUCUGAAUCCACAAUGCCUUGUAAAUAAAUGAAGAAUUGAACUUC